rnacentral:misc_RNA from 1 species
GAUGAAGAACGCAGCGAAAUGCGAUACGCAAUGUGAAUUGCAAAUUCAGUGAAUCAUCGAGUCUUUGAACGCACAUUGCGCCCCCUGGUAUUCCGGGGGGCAUGCCUGUCCGAGCGUCAUUGCUGCCCUCAAGCACGGCUUGUGUGUUGGGCCCCGUCCUCCGAUCCCGGGGGACGGGCCCGAAAGGCAGCGGCGGCACCGCGUCCGGUCCUCGAGCGUAUGGGGCUUUGUCACCCGCUCUGUAGGCCCGGCCGGCGCUUGCCGAUCAACCCAAAUUUUUUAUCCAGGUUGACCUCGGAUCAGGUAGGGAUACCCGCUGAACUUAAGCAUAUCAAUAAGCGGAGGA